GCGGGCGUCGUAUAAUGGUUAUUAUACAUCCUUGCCAAGGAUGAGACGGCAGUUCGAUCCUGCUCGCCCGCU
rnacentral:tRNA from 1 species